AUGGCUUCCGGCGCGUUGCGUCGCCGCCGAGGCGCUCCGUUCAGGGUCUCGGUUAUCCUUAUCGCCGCCGCCCUGGUCCGCCUCGCCGCGUCGGCUGCUGAUGCGGCGGAGAGGACGGCGGCGAGCGGCCCGGAGCCGGACUGGCACGUCGUCAGCGUCGCCUCGCUGCUGCCGCCCGCGGCAUGCACGGCGUCCAAGGCAGCGGCAUCAAACUCGUCGGCCCUCAACGUCGUGCACCGGCACGGCCCGUGCUCGCCGCUGCAGGCUCGGGGCACGCCGCCGCCCCACGCCGAGCUCCUCAACGACGACCAGGCCAGGGUCCACUCCAUACACCGCAAGAUCGCCGCGGCGGCGUCGCCCGUGUCGGACCGAGCCCGUGGCGCGAAGGGCGUGACCCUGCCGGCGCAGCGGGGCAUCUCCCUCGGCACCGGCAACUACGUCGUGUCCGUGGGCCUCGGCACCCCGGCCAGGGGCAUGACGGUGGUGUUCGACACCGGCAGCGACCUGUCUUGGGUGCAGUGCACGCCGUGCUCGGACUGCUACGAGCAGAAGGACCCGCUCUUCGACCCGGCGCGGUCCUCGACGUACUCCGCCGUGCCCUGCGCCGCGCCGGAGUGCCAGGGGCUGGACUCGCGGAGCUGCUCGCCGGACAGGAAAUGCCGGUACGAGGUCGUGUACGGCGACCAGUCGCAGACCGACGGCGCCCUGGCGCGCGACACGCUGACGCUGACGCCGUCCGACACGCUCCCGGGGUUCGUCUUCGGGUGCGGCGAACGGGACACCGGCCUGUUCGGCAGGGCCGACGGGCUCGUCGGGCUCGGCCGCGAGAAGGUGUCGCUGUCGUCCCAGGCGGCGUCCAAGUACGGGGCGGGGUUCUCCUACUGCCUCCCGUCGUCGUCCAGCGCCGCGGGGUACCUGUCCCUCGGCGGGCCGGCGCCGGCGAACGCACGAUUCACGGCGAUGGAGACCCGCCGCGACACGCCGUCGUUCUACUAUGUCGGCCUCGUCGGCGUCAAGGUCGCCGGGCGGACGGUCAGGGUCUCCCCCGUCGUGUUCGCGGCCGCCGGCACGGUGAUCGACUCGGGGACGGUGAUCACCCGCCUGCCGCCGCGCGCGUACGCCGCGCUCCGGUCGAAGUUCGCGCGCUCCAUGGGCAGGUACGGGUACAAGAGGGCGCCCGCGCUGUCCAUCCUGGACACGUGCUACGACUUCACGGGGCACACGACGGUGCGCAUACCGUCGGUGGCGCUGGUGUUCGCCGGCGGCGCCGCCGUGGGGCUCGACUUCAGCGGGGUGCUGUACGUGGCCAAGGUGGCGCAGGCGUGCCUGGCGUUCGCGGCCAACGGCGACGGCGCGGACGUCGGCAUCCUCGGGAACACGCAGCAGAAGACGCUCGCGGUGGUGUACGACGUCGCCAACAACAAGAUCGGGUUCGGCGCCAACGGCUGCAGCUGA
rnacentral:rRNA from 1 species